rnacentral:lncRNA from 1 species
AGAAUUCUAACAAUGCUCUAAUUAGACUAUAAUAAUGGUAAAUAAACGUAAUCAAAUUCAAAACAACUCAAAGAAAUUUCAAACAAACAAUAAAAUUCUUAAAGAAAUAUUCGAAUGAUCACAAAUUUUACUCAAAUAUAUGUCAAUUCAACCUUAAUUUAAUUCUAGUUAAAACCCUAUUGAAUUUCACUCAACUUUAGACCAAACCUAAUUAAAUCUUAAACCCUAAUAAUUCCUAAAUCCUAAGUCAAAUCCUAAACAAAUCUUAAAUUAAACCCUAUUCUAAACCCUAAAUCAAACCCUAAACGAAACCCUAAUCCAAUCCUAAACCCUAAACCAAUCGUUAAAUCAAAUCCUAACCAAAUCUUAAUCCAAAUCCUAAAUCAAACCCUAACCAAACCCUAAACCCUAAUCCAAACCCUAAAUCAAACCCUAACCAAAUCCUAAACCCUAAUCCAAAUCCUAAUCCAACCCUAAACUCUAAUCCAAAUUCUAAACCCUAAACCAAAUCUUAAAUCAAAUCCUAACCAAAUCCUAGUCCAAACUCUAAUCCAAAUCCUAAAUCAAACCCUAACCAAAUCCUAAACCCUAAUCCAAACCCUAAUCCAAACCCUAAUCCAAACCCUAAACUCUAAUCCAAAUCCUAAACCCUAAACCAAACCUUAAAUCAAACCCUAAAUCA